GCGUCUAUGGCAUUCAUCACAAAAGUAAAAAUAAGUAAAAUGACCCUCGUAUAAGAGCCUAUGUACCAUUGCAUCUGGUAGGACUCGCUGUAAAAAAUCAGUUGUGGAUGGCGGUACCACCAUAUCUUCCAUCCCCUGAUAAAAUUAGGAAAUUUAAUUACUUUACAAAAGUUGGCGUAAAUAUGUUGACAAAUCAUGAGGAAUUAUCUCGAAUAAGGGAAGCAAAAAUCGGUAAAGGAGAUAUGAACCAACCUGCCAUAUGUGAAUUUGACCAAGGAAUCCAGCCAAGAUUUCUUCUGUUUGACCAUACAGAGAUUUAAUCCAAUGCACAAUACCCUUUCCAGGGCGUUUCCUCUGCACUUUGAGGUCUGCCGGGCUAAAACCCCAAUUUGAAACCUGUAAGACAGCUUCCUCCACAAAUGGUUUUGCAUUCUUUUGUCGAACAGCUUCUUCUAGAUCUCUUUGCCAGAAAUCUUCAAAUGAUGGGUGCUCCAGCAAAGCUUUAUCCUGGAAAGGUUAGACAUUCUGUCGAUUAGGACAUGUUGACCUGGGAAAUAAAUGUGCCAAAGCCACUCAACCUCCAUGGAAUCUCUUAUAAAACAAUGCUGUUUUUUUUUUUUUAAACUAUAAAUUAUAAAUAAGGAGGUAAACAGCUUUUUAGUGAUUUGAUUUCUCGUUAGCUUUAUUUCAUUCAUGGAUAUAUCUUAAUAAGAUGAGCAUAAUCAGUUUAGUGGUGUUACUCUUGUUAUGCUAUUCAGAGUUGUUGGUCAUGAAUCAAAGUUACUCACUCUUAUUCCAAGUGACAAGGCAAGCCGUGUUUCGAUCGGGCCAUGGACUCUACUAAGGAAGCUUCUAUGGUAAAAGUAAGGAAGUAAUCUUGGAAACUUCCUAGCUAAUAUAUACAUGGCUUUCUUCUUUGUUGUCCAUGUCUUCCACAUUUUAUUCUUCUCCACCUUGGUCAUUCUUGGUUCAUAUGGAUUAACCAUUGGAGCGACCAUGACUGCACCUGCAAAUCCAUUCAGCAAUUAGAUUAUUAGAUUCAACUGAGAUAAUAUGAAGCGAACCUAAAUUUGGUUUGCAUAUUGAAUGAAACAGAAUAAGGUAUACUGGGGCUUCUGAAAUCUUCGCCAUAAAUAUUAAGUGCAAUGAAGUGUUUGAAGAACCCUAGGGAUCCAGAAUCAAGAAAGAGCAUCAACAGUAUCAUGAGGGCUUCUUUAACCCACUGUAGAAAACCGGUGACCCUUUCCAACUGCAAAAGUAUGUUUUAGGCCUUCAUGGCACUUCUCAAAAAAUGGGAUCACUUCUUAUGAACUCAUUGAGAAUGAUUCUGAUCUAGUUCAUGGCCCAAGUCGAUGACUAUUUAUAGCUAUUACCUUAAUGAACACUACAUUAGUUGCAGUGUAUCACUCAUUUGACAGGAUUUAUAGACUUUGUCAAUACUUCUUAUUCUUUGGCAGUUUUUACUGUGUCCGUUGGCCCUAAAAAGAUGCUAUAGAGAUGUAAAGUCUGUGAAUCUCCGUGAUAAACAUCAAAACACAUUGACUGCAAAAGGCUAACAGCAGCCAACUAGGUGGGCAUGUGAACUGGACAGGAGAAUGAAAUUUAAUUUGUAAAAACAAAGAAAAAGGCCAUCUU
rnacentral:lncRNA from 1 species